GACGAACGCUGGCGGCGUGCUUAACACAUGCAAGUUGAACGGAAAGGCCUGCUUUCCCUUGUGGAUUGCGGGUACUCGAGUGGCGAACGGGUGAGUAACACGUGAGUGAUCUGCCCCCAACUUGGGUAUAGGCCUGGGAAACUGGGUCUAAUUCCCGAUAGGACUGCAGGGUGGUGCCUGUGGUGGAAAACGAUUUUCUAGUGGUUGGGGAUGAGCUCGCGGCCUAUCAGCUUGUUGGUGGGGUAAUGGCCUACCAAGGCGGCGACGGGUAGCCGGCCUGAGAGGGUGGACGGCCACAUUGGGACUGAGAUACGGCCCAGACUCCUACGGGAGGCAGCAGUGGGGAAUAUUGCACAAUGGGCGGAAGCCUGAUGCAGCGACGCCGCGUGGGGGAUGACGGCCUUCGGGUUGUAAACUCCUUUCGACCGCGAGGAAGCCACCUGGUUGGAAGGGUGGUGACGGUAGUGGUAGAAGAAGCACCGGCUAACUACGUG
rnacentral:rRNA from 1 species